rnacentral:lncRNA from 1 species
UUCUAUAAUUGAAGUAUCCUUAAGACAAAACUCAGAUUUACUGAAACUUUUUUUUACAGAUGUUUAAUUUGACACAUUAUGAUCAUUUCACCAGGGCGAGCUGAUAUUCGAGCUGAUAAAGUCAGUAUCAAAAAAUAAAAUGCCAUUAUUCUUUUUAUCGGCAAUCUGUCGUAACUCUAUGCUUUUUGUAAAGGAUAUGAAGUUAAUUGAAAUAAUAAGUAAAACUACUGUUACGCGUAGAAAACGUUGAACAUGUGAUGUUGCUGCACUGAUACUGCACUGAUACAUGACGUCAUUGCCUAAUAUUUUCGAAUAUCAAGUCCUGUCCAUGAUCGUCCAUGAUAUUGAAAAUAUUAGGCAGUAAGAUCAAAGGGAAAAUGUUCUAAUUGCCGAUAAAUUAACGUUCUAAUCAUAACUUUCUUGCAUUUAAGUAUUAAGUUUACAACAUUGAUAUUAUUAGGAUUUAAAUACUUUUAAUUUUUAAUAGUUUAUGUCUAAUGUCCUUGGUACAUGAAAUUUAAAUUAGUUUUUUUUCUCCCGCAAAAAGUAAAAUAACCAAAAAAUACAUAGUUAUUGAAGAAAAUUCAAAACAGAAAGUCCCUUAUCAAACUCAAACAUGUGAAAUGAAUGGAUAACGACUGUCACAUUCCUGACCUUUGCUGCAUCAAUAUAAACAGUACUUGAAGAUAUGUGAAUGACCCAAAAAAUUAAGAAUAACAGUAUUGUGUUUGAAGAGUUGCCAUGGUUAAUUGGUUAACUCCCAACCUCUACCAUUGAAUUGAUAGUAGACACUAUACAAUCUAAUUGUCUAUAAAUAUUAUAUUAUAUCAGUAUUAGAAAAAUAUAGAGAGAAUAUACAAUAAAGAUAUUAUUGAUUUAUGCUGUGAUUUUGGUUUGAAAAUUAACAAUGUAUUACUAAUUAUAUUACAUAAUUACAAGGAUGUUUCCAACCAGUAUAAUGCUUUGUCAAAGGAAAAGCCAUGAGAAACAAAUAAUUACUUUUGGAGUGUCUCUGUAUUAUAUGUUGAGGCAAUGUAGAUAAGAAAUCCAUUAAUUUAUAGAGUCUUAUGUGUUUACAUAUAGAAUUUCAUAAUAGUUUUACUAUUAUGCAUUGCUUGCUUUUGUUUCCUUUUAACAUAUUUGUUUUAUUUGUUUUUUGUUAAAUUCUAGUCUCAAUAAUUAUGCAUAUUAUGCAAUUUAUAUGCUUGUCUUUUUAUGUGGCUGAUUGACAGAAUCUUGCAGUGUGAAAACCUUUGUUUGGGAGAGGGGCCUGGACAAAUUCAGUUUGCAUUGAAUUCACUGUAAUUAAGUAGCAGCAGAAAAAUAUCAAUUGUUAUUUGCCUUUUUUGUGUGUCUUGAAAAAAUAAAUACCUUUAGUCUUUACACUAGGACUUAUUCAAGAUUAAAAUUGUAUUUAUUUUUUUCAAUUUUUACAAGUUUUAAUUUGUACAAAUUCCUUUCAAUAAGUUGUCUAUUUAUGUUAUUUGUUAAAAUAUAAUAUUUGAUCUCAAAUGGUUAAUUGUUGCUCUUCCUCAUCUUACAUGUACCUUAUAACCAAUAACUAAAUUCAUAGUCAUGUAUUUCUACAAACUAACUGGAAACAAAAUGUUAAAUGCAAAGACUAUGUAUCAACAAUCUUCAUGACACUUACUAAAUAUUUAAACAUUUAUAAAUAAUUUUGCGGUAAAGUAGUCGUCCUAAAUUUUUUUUAAUACAGAUAAGAUGAAAUUAAUAAAUUCAAAAAAUAACAAUAAAAGUUAAAUGUGAAAUAUCAGUGUAAACAUAAAAGCAGUUUCAUUGAUUUUUCUAAAAAAAAAAUAUACAUGUGUAUUUACAAUUUUUACAAGAAUAAAGUACAUUAUUUUUAUGAAAUACAAACAAUAUGUAUUUUGACUCAAUCUAAAAUCUAUUAUCAUGAUAAUUCAAUUUUUAUCAAGAAGUUAAAAUUUAAGGGGGUGACAAAAAAUCGUUUGAAAACCCACCCAUAUUCACAUUUAUACUUAAUAACAGCAGUUUUAUUUAAUAAUAACACAUGUUAACCAAAAGAACAUUGAAUUGUGGUAGACUUAACAAUUUUCUCAAAUCUCCUGAAACAGAAAAAGUGGAGUACAUUUGUAUUUACUAUAGCAAGACAUGCCAGAAACCAUGAUUAAUACAUGUGCAUAGGGAAACCAUGUUACCGGUGAUGGGAUUAAAAGCCUGGAUAAACUUAUAUCACAACAAAGUGGAAAAAUCUGAACAAGCAUGUGAAAAAAACAGAUUUUACCUAUAAACAAAACAAAUGUGGUUAGCAUGAAGCCUAUUUGAAGGGUACACAACAGAAUUAAACGUAGAAGUACUGUUUGACAAAAUCUUUUUUCAGAAUUGUACUCAAUACAAUCCUUAAACAAAUUCAAUAUUUUUUCUGGGGAGGGUGGGGCAUCAAUUUGCAGUUUUAGACUUUAUGAAAAUGAUUUACUGACGCUAGAAAUACAAAACUGAACACAAGUAGAAUGUGUUUCAAUACUUUUAUGAUUGAUACAAACCUUUCAUAGGAAUAGCAUGCAUCCUUAAAAAUUAAAGAAAACUGUAAAGUCAGGUUGAGGUUUUUUUAUACAGUCUGUCAUUCAGAAAUAAUUCAUGAUAUUUUAUCAGUUUUUUAUAUGCCAAUCAAUUUAGAACAUAAUGAUUUCUUUAUUAUUUAUAGUGCUUUUUUUUGUUGAUUGUUGUACCAGGAUUUUUGCCACAAUACAUAAUUAUGUUAUAGGUA